rnacentral:pre_miRNA from 1 species
UAACUACUCCCUCCAUUCCAAAUUACUCGUCGCUGAAAUGGAUGUAUCUAAAACUAAAAUACAUCUAGAUACAUCCAUACGUGCGACAAGUAAUUUGGAACGGAGGAAGUACAUA